rnacentral:rRNA from 1 species
AGUGAACGCUGGCGGUAGGCCUAACACAUGCAAGUCGAACGGCAGCACAGUAAGAGCUUGCUCUUACGGGUGGCGAGUGGCGGACGGGUGAGGAAUACAUCGGAAUCUACUUUUUCGUGGGGGAUAACGUAGGGAAACUUACGCUAAUACCGCAUACGACCUACGGGUGAAAGCAGGGGAUCUUCGGACCUUGCGCGAUUGAAUGAGCCGAUGUCGGAUUAGCUAGUUGGCGGGGUAAAGGCCCACCAAGGCGACGAUCCGUAGCUGGUCUGAGAGGAUGAUCAGCCACACUGGAACUGAGAAACGGUCCAGACCCCUACGGGAGGAAGCAGUGGGGAAUAUUGGAAAAGGGGCGCAAGCCUGACCCAGCCAUACCGCGUGGGUGAAGAAGGCCUUGGGGUUGUAAAGCCCUUUUUUGGGGAAAGAAAAGCAGCAGGUUAAUCCCCCGCUUUUCUGGCGGGACCCAAAGAAUAAGCACCGGCGAACUUCGU